GAUGAACGCUGGCGGCGUGCCUAAUACAUGCAAGUCGAGCGACCAGACGAGGAGCUUGCUCCUUUGACGUUAGCGACUGACGGGUGAGUAACACGUAGAUAACCUUCUUCUAUGACUUGGAUAACUUCGUGAAACCGCAGCUACUACCGCCUCAUAUAUUCAACCGCAUGGUUCAAUAGUUCAUGACGCCUUUCCCGUUUCUUUUAGCUGGAUUCGCGCCGCAUUAGCUAGUUGGUAAGGUAACGGCUUACCAAGGCAACGAUGCGUAGCCGACCUGAGAGGAUGAUCGGCCACACUGGAACUGAGACACGGUCCAGACUCCUACGGGAGGCAGCAGUAGGGAAUAUUGCGCAAUGGGCGAAAGCCUGACGGAGCAACACCGCGUGAGUGAAGAAGGUCUUCGGAUUGUAAAACUCUUUUAUUAGGGAAGAAAAAAAGUAUAAGUAAACAUGGACGUCUUGACGGUACCUAAACAGAAAGCAACGGCUAACUUCGUA
rnacentral:rRNA from 1 species